AGGGUUUGAUUCUGGCUCAGGAUGAACGCUGGCGGCGUGCCUAACACAUGCAAGUCGAACGAGCAAAUACAUUUGAUUUCUUCGGAAUGAAGAUGUAGGCGCGAGUGGCGGACGGGUGAGUAACGCGUGAGUAAUCUGCCUCAUACAGGAGAAUAACACUAAGAAAUUGGUGCUAAUACUCCAUAAGCUCACAUUAUGACAUCAUAGAGUGAGAAAAGAUUUAUCGGUAUGAGAGGAGCUCGCGUCUGAUUAGCUAGUUGGUGGGGUAACGGCCUACCAAGGCGACGAUCAGUAGCCGACCUGAGAGGGUGAUCGGCCACAUUGGAACUGAGACACGGUCCAA
rnacentral:rRNA from 1 species